GUGCGCGAACGGGGGCUUCGGCUCCUUAUUAGAGCGGCGAACUGGUGAGUACAAGAUGAAUAACGUACCCUUAAGUGGGGAAUAACCUCGGGAAACCGGGGAUAAUACCGCAUGUGUUCGACGGUUUAGUUAUCGUUGAACAAAGCAGCAAUGCGCUAAAGGAUCGGUUCAUCUCCCAUUAGCUAGUUGGUGUGGUAAUGGCGCACCAAGGCAACGAUGGGUAGCUGGUCUGAGAGGAUGGUCGCCCACACUGGGAUUGAGAUACGGCCCAGACUCCUACGGGAGGCAGCAGUCGAGAAUAGUCUACAAUGGACGGAAGUCUGAUAGUGCGACGCCGCGUGAACGAAGAAUCCCUUCGGGGUGUAAAGUUCUUUUAUACGUGAGCAGUGUCCUUUAUAUUAAUAGUAUAAGGGGAGAGAUAUUAGCGUAUGAAUAAGCAACGGCUAACUCCGUGCCAGCAGCCGCGGUAACACGGGGGUUGCGAGCGUUGUCCGGAAUUACUAGGCGUAAAGUGCAGGUAGGCGGAUAAAUAAGUUUAAGGUUAAAGGCUACGGCUUACCCGUAGUAAGGCGUUAGAUACUGUUUAUCUGGAAUGCGGUUGAGGGAGACAGAAUUCCUGGUGUAGCGGUGGAAUGCGCAGAGAUCAGGAGGAAUACCGAAGGCGAAGGCAGUCUUCUAAGCCGAUAUUGACGCUAAACUGCGAAGGUGUGGGGAUCAAACAGGAUUAGAUACCCUGGUAGUCCACACAGUAAACGAUAAUCACUAGGUGUUGGGUUCUUAAGAGGAUUCAGUGCCGGAGCUAACGCGAUAAGUGAUUCGCCUGGGGAGUACGAUCGCAAGGUUGAAACUCAAAGGAAUUGACGGGGGCCCGCACAAGCGGUGGAGCAUGUGGUUUAAUUCGACGCAACGCGAAGAACCUUACCCGGUCUUGACAUCUGCAGAAUUCUUCAGAGAUGGAGGAGUGCCGGUUUUACCGGAGCUGCAAGACAGGUGCUGCAUGGCUGUCGUCAGCUCGUGUCGUGAGAUGUUGGGUUAAGUCCCGCAACGAGCGCAACCCCUGCUUUCAGUUACCAUCAUUAAGUUGGGGACUCUGGAAGGACCGCUGCGGUAACAACGCAGAGGAAGAUGGGGACGACGUCAAGUCAUCAUGGUCCUUAUGACCGGGGCUACACACGUGCUACAAUGGUAGUUACAGAGGGAUGCGAAGCAGUGAUGUGGAGCGAAUCUCAGAAAAGCUACCACAGUUCGGAUUGAGGUCUGCAACUCGACCUCAUGAAGCAGGAAUCGCUAGUAAUCGCGCAACAUCAUGGCGCGGUGAAUACGUUCCCGGGCC
rnacentral:rRNA from 1 species